GGAGUGGAGAGAGAGGUGGGGCGUGGUACAGAGCGAGGCGAGAGAGAGAUGUUGGUCCUGGGCCGGGUGGCGUAAGGAGGUGUGUGCGAGUGUGUAUCAGGGUACGGGUGCUUGCGCUGCUGAUUAAUGCUCGCUAUUGGAUGAGGAGAGGAGGCCUGGGGCAAAUUCACUGGUGGGGUUACUGGAGAAGUGGAGCUGGAAGAGCCGUGCUUUAGCUUCCAGGAGGCCAGGGUAGAGCAGGGCGCCGGAGCUGGUAUGAGGCAAGUGCUUUGGUGAUGAUGUGAGAGAGCUGUUUGUCUGCUAUGAAUGCUCUGUUUGUUUAACUGGGGCAUUGUUUCACUGCCUGAGCUGCACUAAUGUGUUCUCUGAGCAGCCGUGGAACACUGCUUAGAACUUUGUAGGUAUCAUGAAUGGAUUGUUGAGCUGUCUUGUUGAACUGGGGUGAAAAAAACUGUAAUUACAGAAGUAAUUAUAUUAAUAAUAGGUUUAUAACAUUUUCUGACAACAGAAGCAUUAGAUAAUUAACAAAAGAUUGAGGUGCCAAAAUUGUUCUUUAAAGCAAUGUCACAGGAGAACCAACAUUAAUAGAGCUGGUUCUUAAAAAAAAAAAAAAAAAAAAAACGAUUAUUGUUAAUAAGUGUGAGUUUAAGAUAAUUUAGGCUUGUUAACACUGUGACCUUUAGAUUAGAUCAGAUUCUACAUUAUAUUGUAAUCUAACAAAUACUAAUCUUACUCUAAGAAGUCCAUCUUUUCUGCAGAUGUUACCUCCAACCUUCACCCACCACGUAUGGUCCAUCUAAUCACUGCCUGGUUUAGGUCAGUGCAAUGUGGUGGAGUUUGGUAGAUCUCCAGGAGGAAGAUUUGUGACAACUUAUAAAUAGAUAAUACAUUCUAUGAGAGCUACACGUUUUUUCUUUGUUUGAACCAUUUGGCAACCUCUAUUUUAAGAAAUGUAGG
rnacentral:lncRNA from 1 species